rnacentral:hammerhead_ribozyme from 1 species
ACCCAACUGACGAGUUCUAAAUAGGACAAAACCCUCGUCUUAGAU